AGUUUGAUCAUGGCUCAGAUUGAACGCUGGCGGCAGGCCUAACACAUGCAAGUCGAGCGGUAACAGGGGAAGCUUGCUUCUCGCUGACGAGCGGCGGACGGGUGAGUAAUGUAUGGGGAUCUGCCCGAUAGAGGGGGAUAACCACUGGAAACGGUGGCUAAUACCGCAUAAUCUCUUAGGAGCAAAGCAGGGGAACUUCGGUCCUUGCGCUAUCGGAUGAACCCAUAUGGGAUUAGCUAGUAGGUGGGGUAAUGGCUCACCUAGGCGACGAUCCCUAGCUGGUCUGAGAGGAUGAUCAGCCACACUGGGACUGAGACACGGCCCAGACUCCUACGGGAGGCAGCAGUGGGGAAUAUUGCACAAAGGGCGCAAGCCUGAUGCAGCCAUGCCGCGUGUAUGAAGAAGGCCCUAGGGUUGUAAAGUACUUUCAGUCGGGAGGAAGGCGUUGAUGCUAAUAUCAUCAACGAUUGACGUUACCGACAGAAGAAGCACCGGCUAACUCCGUGCCAGCAGCCGCGGUAAUACGGAAGGUGCAAGCGUUAAUCGGAAUUACUGGGCGUAAAGCGCACGCAGGCGGUUGAUUAAGUUAGAUGUG
rnacentral:rRNA from 1 species